GCCUAGUUAGCUUAGUUGGUAGUGCGUCUGCCUUGUAAGCGCUAGGCCGCGGGUUCGAUUCUCGCCCGGGGCG
rfam:Asian citrus Psyllid, Diaphorina citri - Florida Strain, whole genome shotgun sequence.